CUGGGUCGAGCGGGGAUAACAGGGAAAUAGUGAGAUGGUUUGAGACUGUCGAAGUUUCUCAAUACAUUAUAAAACGGCAUGACAUACAAUAUAUAAUUGUAUUGAGGACCUAAGAUGUGGGUGUCAUAUUUUAUACGUCACGUAAUAUUUAAUUUUGGUGAACUAUAAUAGGGUGAAGUGAACCCGACUUUGGAAGCGUUAUUUGUUGCUGUAUUAUAUAUGGCAUUGUAAUAAUUUGAGUUUGGAUACG
rnacentral:lncRNA from 1 species